GACCGGAGCUAUCAACCACUCAGCCAUCUCUCC
rnacentral:tRNA from 1 species